GCCACCAAGAGCGGGCUCCUGACAGGAGCUGCAGCCUGAGGAGAGGAGCCUGCGCUGCAGCGGGGUUGUCCUGGAGGAGCUGCAGGCUGAAGACAGCAGCCACGCUGGAGCAGGGGACGAGUGUGAGGAGGACAGAGCGACAGACAGUGCUCACAUGCCUCAGUUUUGCCACAUAGGAGCCCAGCUGGAUGUGUGCCACAAGCUUGGAAGCAGGUCUUUAGGCCAUGGGGUCUCCUAUCUUUAAAAGACCUUGGCACCAGUGGUAUUAAUGCAGCCCCUGCUGGCUGUGGUUGAGUGGAGAUGAAGCCUGAAGUCCCUGCCGUUGACCUACAAACACGAGCAUAAUUAAGGAUGCAGUGGAACGAAAGCAGCUGCACCACCCAGGAGAGCAUCCACUGUAGACACAGGAGCUAUUUUCUGUACCGCACCCUCUGAAGGGCUCUAGAACAUGAAAAAUGAUGGCUUCAGAGGCAGACAAAGGGGAUGCUGAAUGCAAAAAAAGGCUUUCUCGCUCCAUCUCUCCAGAAGACCCAUGCCUUGUGACAGUGGGAUCAGGGCAGCAGAUGGCAAAGUGCGAACAGCAUGGGAAGUCAUCAGGAGUCCCUGGAAAGUGUAUUUCGGGAAGCUGUGUGGCAAAUCAGGGGACAUUACAGGCAGUACUGAGAGCAAGGCAAUCGUCUGCAUAGCCAUAAAAUAACCUUCACCUUUUCUGGCGGAGACUGACACUGCAGUAAACAAGCUCAAACUGGGGAAGGCACAUGGUAAAUGUUACAGAUGAAGUCAUAAAAGUCUGGCAGCCACGCAGUUCGUGUCCUUCAUAAAAUCUGUGAAGAAGCAAAUGGGAAGCCAGGGACCGGCCAAAGUACCAGCACAAAUCAAUCUACCUUUCACCAUCUAAGGGAAAGAAAAGCAGACCUGAAAAAGACCUGCUGAGCAGAUCUCUUCCCAAAGCCUGUUAAUGCACUGCCACAUGUUACUGGAACUUGCAAAGCAAGAUGGGGUCCAAGAAGAUUGAAUGAGUUGGGACUGGUAGAGGGACAGAAAAACCUUU